rnacentral:rRNA from 1 species
UACACACCGCCCGUCACAUCACGAAAGUUGGUAACACCCGAAGCCAGUGGCCCAACCCUUUGGGAGGGAGCUGUCGAAGGUGGGAUCAGCGAUUGGGAUG